AUUGAACGCUGGCGGCAGGCUUAACACAUGCAAGUCGAGCGGGGGAGGUUACUUCGGUAACUGACCUAGCGGCGGACGGGUGAGUAAUGCUUAGGAAUCUGCCUAUUAGUGGGGGACAACAUUCCGAAAGGAAUGCUAAUACCGCAUACGCCCUACGGGGGAAAGCAGGGGAUCUUCGGACCUUGCGCUAAUAGAUGAGCCUAAGUCGGAUUAGCUAGUUGGUGGGGUAAAGGCCUACCAAGGCGACGAUCUGUAGCGGGUCUGAGAGGAUGAUCCGCCACACUGGGACUGAGACACGGCCCAGACUCCUACGGGAGGCAGCAGUGGGGAAUAUUGAACAAUGGGCGGAAGCCUGAUCCAGCCAUGCCGCGUGUGUGAAGAAGGCCUUUUGGUUGUAAAGCACUUUAAGCGAGGAGGAGGCUCCUUUAGUUAAUACCUAAAGAGAGUGGACGUUACUCGCAGAAUAAGCACCGGCUAACUCUGUGCCAGCCGCCGCGGUAAGAC
rnacentral:rRNA from 1 species